GGUAACAGCAUUCUCAGGGCCUUCUGCCAAGGGCCCGCUUUGAUCUCCCUUAAAGGACAGCAUUAUCUGACCAGAGGUAAAUUGUAACCACUGAAAGUCCGCUGUUUCGAUUCUGGGCAAGAUGCUAUGGCAGAACAGGGACCAUGAUGAACUACUUAGAAAAAUACAUAAGGCCAUACCCAUGCAGGAGACCUCUCCAGGUACACAUAUUUCCUGCUACUGAAUGGCUUAGACUGGGAUUUGCAAGGAACUACGAAGUCCAAGACCUUUGCCUUUCUUUUAGAAGAAGGCACCAGCUGGUUCUCCAAUGUUGAAGGUCUUCUCCAGAGAUGGGCAUGCAGAAGGAGUGAAAAAACAAGAAGGAAGACAAGGAAGACAUUGUUUUGGCUGCUGACAUUUCCUGAAAGAUCUGAGGCGUCCCCUUCACUUCGGGCAUGGGACCCAGACGGCUGAGUGAUGGACCUUAAGGUGUGGGGAGAUUACAACUUGCUCAAGGUCUCAUAGCUAGAAGAUGUCAGAGUGAUAACUCAAACCAUGUCACAUGACUCUAAGCCCAAAGCAGCCUCUAGAAGGUUGUUUGAUCUUCUGAUGGAAGCACAAAUCACCAUUCCAACAUGAAAGAUGGAGAAACUUAAGUCUAGAGAGAUUUAAAGGACUUGUCAAAGGCAAUGAAACAAGUGGAACUCUGAAAGCCACAUGUUGAGAUGGCCCCAUUACAGGAUGGAGAGCACCUGAACCCCCAAGUUAUGGACUAGAAGAAGACAGUUGCCCUGGAAAAUCAUCUGACCCACAUUGGACUUUAUGUGAGGGGGAAAUAAACCUUUAUUAUGUUAAGCUACACAAUAAUAAAUAACAACAAUAA
rnacentral:lncRNA from 1 species